AGAGUUUGAUCCUGGCUCAGGACGAACGCUGGCGGCGUGUUUUACCCAUGCAAGUUGAACGAAGGAAUAUGACAGAAGGUCUUCGGACCGGAAGAUAUAUUCACUGAGUAGCGAACGGGUGAGUAACGCGUGAAUAACCAACCCUCCACAGGGGGACAACAUCUGGAAACGGAUGCUAAUACCGCAUAAGACCACAGUACUGCAUGGCACAGGUGUAAAAACCACGGUGGUGGAGGACGGAUUCGCGUUCCAUUAGCUAGUAGGUAGGGUAACGGCCUACCUAGGCAUCGAUGGAUAGCCGAGCUGAGAGGCUGAUCGGCCGCACUGGAACUGAGAUACGGUCCAGACUCCUACGGGAGGCAGCAGGGAAUAAUAUUGUACAAUGGGGGAAACCCUGAUACAGCAACGCCGCGUGAAGGAAGAAGGCCUUCGGGUUGUAAACUUCUGUGACGGGGGACGAAAAAAAUGACGGUACCCCGAGAGGAAGCCCCGGCAAACUACGUGCCAGCAGCCGCGGUAAUACGUAGGGGGCAAGCGUUGUCCGGAAUCACUGGGCGUAAAGGGCGCGCAGGCGGCCUGACAAGUUGUAUGUGAAAUCCCCGGGCUUAACCCGGGACGUGCAUACAAAACUAUUAGGCUUGAGUAUGGUAGAGGUAAGUGGAAUUCCUAGUGUAGCGGUGGAAUGCGUAGAUAUUAGGAGGAACACCAGUGGCGAAGGCGACUUACUGGGCCAUAACUGACGCUGAGGCGCGAAAGCGUGGGGAGCAAACAGGAUUAGAUACCCUGGUAGUCCACGCUGUAAACGAUGAAUACUAGGUGUAGGGGGUAUCGACCCCCCCUGUGCCGGAGCUAACGCAAUAAGUAUUCCGCCUGGGGAGUACGACCGCAAGGUUGAAACUCAAAGGAAUUGACGGGGACCCGCACAAGCAGCGGAGCAUGUGGUUUAAUUCGACGCAACGCGAAGAACCUUACCAGGACUUGACAUCCACAGAAUCUUAGGGAAACCUAGGAGUGCCUUCGGGAACUGUGAGACAGGUGGUGCAUGGUUGUCGUCAGCUCGUGUCGUGAGAUGUUGGGUUAAGUCCCGCAACGAGCGCAACCCUUAUGUUCAGUUACCAGCGGAUAAUGCCGGGGACUCUGGACAGACUGCCGGGGAUAACUCGGAGGAAGGUGGGGACGACGUCAAAUCAUCAUGCUCCUUAUGUCCUGGGCUACACACGUGCUACAAUGGUCGUUACAAAGGGAAGCAACCCCGCAAGGGGGAGCAAAACCGAAAAAGGCGAUCUCAGUUCGGAUUGAGGGCUGCAACCCGCCCUCAUGAAGCCGGAGUUGCUAGUAAUCGCGAAUCAGCACGUCGCGGUGAAUACGUUCCCGGGUCUUGUACACACCGCCCGUCACACCACGGAAGUUGGGGGCACCCGAAGCCAGUGAGCUAACCGCAAGGAGGCAGCUGUCUAAGGUGAAAUCAAUGACUGGGGUGAAGUCGUAACAAGGUA
rnacentral:rRNA from 1 species